rnacentral:rRNA from 1 species
AUUGAACGCUGGCGGCAGGCCUAACACAUGCAAGUCGAGCGGAUGAAGAGAGCUUGCUCUCUGAUUCAGCGGCGGACGGGUGAGUAAUGCCUAGGAAUCUGCCUGGUAGUGGGGGACAACGUUUCGAAAGGAACGCUAAUACCGCAUACGCCCCACGGGGGAAAGGGGGGGAUCCUUCGGGACCUCCCGCUAUCGGAGGAGCCUGCGUCGGAUUAGCUAGUUGGUAGGGUAAAGGCCUACCAAGGCGACGGUCCGUAGCUGGUCUGAGAGGAUGAUCAGCCACACCGGAACUGAGACACGGUCCGGACUCCUACGGGAGGCAGCAGUGGGGAAUAUUGCGCAAUGGGCGAAAGCCUGACGCAGCCAUGCCGCGUGUGUGAAGAAGGCCUUCGGGUUGUAAAGCACUUUCAGUGGGGAGGAAAGGGGGAUGGCUAAUAUCCAUCACCGGUGACGCUACCCGCAGAAGAAGCACCGGCUAAUUCCGUGCCAGCAGCCGCAGUAAGAC